rnacentral:hammerhead_ribozyme from 1 species
AUCCAACUGACGAGUCUCAAAUAGGACGAAACUUUCAUCCUGGAU